rnacentral:lncRNA from 1 species
GCCUUUUGUUUAGCAGCUACAGGUGCUGCUGCCUCCUUUGUUUCUUCAGUUUCCAGUUCUGCUGCCUCGACAACUUCCUCAGUUUCUUUCUCAUCCUCGUUCGUUGGUGCCGAUGCUCCAGCCUUUUUCUUCUGUUUCUUUUCGCGCUCCUGAAAGUGUGACCAAGAGAAGCAAAGAGGUUUAGUAUGACAGCGUUAGAAAGCAGGAGUCGUUACACAAGGGCACAAUGAAAUCAGCAAAAGACGAAGUAAUUUCCUUGAGCUUCUUUUCAGCUUCCUUUUCGGCUCUUUUCGCUGCUUUUGCAGCUGCUUUCUCAGCCAACUUCUUCUUCCUUUCCAUGGCCAGCUUAGCUUUCGCUAUUUCCUCCUCUCUUUUCAGUUCCUUCAGCUUUGCUUCGUCGACCGGAGCAGCAGCAGGGGUGGCUUUCGGUGCUAUUUCUAAUCCCGC